UUCGCGACCAAAUGAUACGUUGUUACCAAAGACAACAACGUUUAUCAAGUAUAGGUCGUUGUGUACCAUAUGGGUUGGUUGUCCUCUUAAUCAAGGUGUAUGGAGAUACUGGUAUAGCAUACAGGUGAGAUAUAAGGAUACAUCUUUACUGAACAUGACCGACUCCGGAGCUUUUUCUGCUGUCAAGAUUUGCUCCGAUGGGAUAUGGGUAUAACUGUCCCUCCG
rnacentral:lncRNA from 1 species